rnacentral:rRNA from 1 species
AGGGCGAGGUUACUGGAACAUUUCCGACGCUGAAGGCUCGAAAGGCCAGGGUUGCGAAAGGGAUUUAGAUACCCCUGUAGUUCCCUGGCCAGUAAACGUGUGCGCCUUGUUUGAGGGGUUUCGACCCCCCUUGUGCCGGAGCUAACGCGUUAAGCGCACCGCCUGGGAAGUACGGUCGCAAGACUAAAACUCAAAGAAAUUGACGGGGACCCGCACAAGCGGUGGAGUAUGUGGCUUAAUUCGAUGCAACGCGAAGAACCUUACCAGGGCUUGACAUGCAUUGCUAAUUCCGUGAAAGCGGAUGAGUCUUCGGACACCUUGCACAGGUGCUGCAUGGCCGUCGUCAGCUCGUGUCGUGAGAUGUUGGGUUAAGUCCCGCAACGAGCGCAACCCCUGUGAUCAGUUGCCAGCACGUAAUGGUGGGGACUCUAAUCAGACUGCCCAGAUCAACUGGGAGGAAGGUGGGGAUGGCGUCAGGUCAGUAUGGCCCUUACGCCCUGGGCUGCACACGUACUACAAUGCCCAGUACAAUUAGAACCGAGACCGCGAGGUGGAGGAAAUCUCUUAAAACUGGGCCCAGUUCGGAUUGGAGGCUGCAACUCGCCUCCAUGAAGCCGGAAUCGCUAGUAAUGCUGCAUCAGCUACGGCAGCGUGAAUACGUUCCCGGGUCUUAUACACACCGCCCGUCACAUCAUGGAAGCCGGUAGCACCCGAAGUAUCGUUCAAUCGGUCCUA